rnacentral:rRNA from 1 species
GACGAACGCUGGCGGCGUGCUUAACACAUGCAAGUCGAACGGAAAGGCCCUGCUUUUGUGGGGUGCUCGAGUGGCGAACGGGUGAGUAACACGUGAGUAACCUGCCCUUGACUUUGGGAUAACUUCAGGAAACUGGGGCUAAUACCGGAUAGGAGCUCCUGCUGCAUGGUGGGGGUUGGAAAGUUUCGGCGGUUGGGGAUGGACUCGCGGCUUAUCAGCUUGUUGGUGGGGUAGUGGCUUACCAAGGCUUUGACGGGUAGCCGGCCUGAGAGGGUGACCGGCCACAUUGGGACUGAGAUACGGCCCAGACUCCUACGGGAGGCAGCAGUUGGGGAAUAUUGCACAAUGGGCGGAAGCCUGAUGCAGCAACGCCGCGUGCGGGAUGACGGCCUUCGGGUUGUAAACCGCUUUCGCCUGUGACGAAGCGUGAGUGACGGUAAUGGGUAAAGAAGCACCGGCUAACUACGUGCCAGCAGCCGCGGUGAUACGUAGGGUGCGAGCGUUGUCCGGAUUUAUUGGGCGUAAAGGGCUCGUAGGUGGUUGAUCGCGUCGGAAGUGUAAUCUUGGGGCUUAACCCUGAGCGUGCUUUCGAUACGGGUUGACUUGAGGAAGGUAGGGGAGAAUGGAAUUCCUGGUGGAGCGGUGGAAUGCGCAGAUAUCAGGAGGAACACCAGUGGCGAAGGCGGUUCUCUGGGCCUUUCCUGACGCUGAGGAGCGAAAGCGUGGGGAGCGAACAGGCUUAGAUACCCUGGUAGUCCACGCUGUAAACGGUGGGUACUAGGUGUGGGGUCCAUUCCACGGGUUCCGUGCCGUAGCUAACGCUUUAAGUACCCCGCCUGGGGAGUACGGCCGCAAGGCUAAAACUCAAAGGAAUUGACGGGGCCCCGCACUAGCGGCGGAGCAUGCGGAUUAAUUCGAUGCAACGCGUAGAACCUUACCUGGGUUUGACAUGGAUCGGGAGUGCUCAGAGAUGGGUGUGCCUCUUUUGGGGUCGGUUCACAGGUGGUGCAUGGCUGUCGUCAGCUCGUGUCGUGAGAUGUUGGGUUAAGUCCCGCAACGAGCGCAACCCUUGUUCACUGUUGCCAGCACGUUAUGGUGGGGACUCAGUGGAGACCGCCGGGGUCAACUCGGAGGAAGGUGGGGAUGACGUCAAGUCAUCAUGCCCCUUAUGUCCAGGGCUUCACGCAUGCUACAAUGGCUGGUACAGAGAGUGGCGAGCCUGUGAGGGUGAGCGAAUCUCGGAAAGCCGGUCUCAGUUCGGAUUGGGGUCUGCAACUCGACCUCAUGAAGUCGGAGUCGCUAGUAAUCGCAGAUCAGCAACGCUGCGGUGAAUACGUUCCCGGG